rnacentral:lncRNA from 1 species
AGGUGGACGCUGCCGGGACCCGGGGUCGGACCGCGCAGGGGAGGCGCAGGUGCGUGGUCCUGCCGCAGGUGCAGGGGACCUGGCUGGAAGGCGGGGGAGGGGCAUCUGGCCUGCAGGUGAGUCACAGCCUGAUAGGAACUGGAAAUCCUAUUUCAACGUUAGCUCGUAGAACUUUCAGCUCGUUUCUCUUUCAGGAAACCUAAACCCUUCAUACUUUUCUCAUACUUAACAAGCAGUCUUUACAAUUGCACUAGGACACGAAAUUUUUACUUUAUUUUUUUCUUGCCAGAGACUAAGGUCUAUGUCCUCGCUCCAGGGUCUUUCUGCACUGCCGCAUUCCUUUUCCCUCAGGCAGUUCAGUCUCUGAGACUCCGCUUCGCAUUCUCCCCAGAACCUCGCUCCACCUCGGAUGCGCUUGAGGUGGGCAUAGGAAUUUGCUUCGAAGCCUGUAACGGAAAAGAAGACGGGAAUGGAGGGCUUACAGGGAAGAGAUUUCACAGGUUCUAGAUGAAUAAACUCAACCCAGACAGAUGCUUUCAGUUCACAGUUCAGAGACAUGGGGACAGCCUCACCUGGAGCCCCGUGACGUGGACACCCUGCCUGCUCACUCUUCCUGCCCAGUGGAUGUGCACAGCAAGCUGAGCUGUGUGCAAGUCUCCUCUCCUCGGUCUCCGACACCUGCUCCAGGUGGCUCUUCUCUCCCACCCCCCGAACCCGAGGUCACGAAGCUGCUUUUGUUUGGUCACCAAUGGCACCCACAAAUAUGGGCAUUCAGAUAUACUGGAAAAAUACGUGGAUAGAUCCUUUUGUUAACAGGCAAAAUAAAAGGGGUCAUGUUAUAUAAAUGAGCUGCUUU